AUUGAACGCUGGCGGCAUGCUUUACACAUGCAAGUCGAACGGCAGCACGGGGGCAACCCUGGUGGCGAGUGGCGAACGGGUGAGUAAUGCAUCGGAACGUAUCUUCAAGUGGGGGAGUAACGCACCGAAAGGUGUGCUAAUACCGCAUAAUCUCUACGGAGAAAAGCAGGGGAUCGCAAGACCUUGCGCUUUUGGAGCGGCCGAUGUCUGAUUAGCUAGUUGGNGAGGUAAG
rnacentral:rRNA from 1 species